GAUGAACGCUGGCGGCGUGCCUAAUACAUGCAAGUCGAGCGAACGGACGAGAAGCUUGCUUCUCUGAUGUUAGCGGCGGACGGGUGAGUAACACGUGGAUAACCUACCUAUAAGACUGGGAUAACUUCGGGAAACCGGAGCUAAUACCGGAUGAUAUUUUGAACCGCAUGGUUCAAAAGUGAAAGACGGUCUUGCUGUCACUUAUAGAUGGAUCCGCGCUGCAUUAGCUAGUUGGUAAGGUAACGGCUUACCAAGGCAACGAUGCAUAGCCGACCUGAGAGGGUGAUAGGCCGCACUGGAACUGAGACACGGUCCAGACUCCUACGGGAGGCAGCAGUAGGGAAUCUUCCGCAAUGGGCGAGAGCCUGACGGAGCAACGCCGCGUGAGUGAUGAAGGUCUUCGGAUCGUAAAACUCUGUUAUUAGGGAAAAACAUAUGUGUAAGUAACUGUGCACAUCUUGACGGUACCUAAUCAGAAAGCCACGGCUAACUACGUG
rnacentral:rRNA from 1 species